AGAGUUUGAUCCUGGCUCAGGAUGAACGCUAGCGGCAGGCUUAAUACAUGCAAGUCGAGGGGCAGCACAGAAUAGCAAUAUUUGGGUGGCGACCGGCAAACGGGUGCGGAACACGUACACAACCUUCCUUUAAGUGGGGGAUAGCCCAGAGAAAUUUGGAUUAAUACCUCGUAACAUAUAGAGUGGGCAUCUACUUUAUA
rnacentral:rRNA from 1 species